GUCAGUCAGAUUUUACAUAUCUUGAGUAUUUCCAGGUCUGCUGCCAGCAGUUUUUGGAUGUCUUGCAUCAAGUUUUCUAAGUCCUGUUUAGUAGCAAGGGCAGUAUCGUCUUGGUCCGCUUUGGCUGGAAGCGGAGCACUCUGAGGUUCAGCUACGGUGUGUGCAGGGACGUAUUAGCUGCGAGGCAAACAAGACAUUUGCCUUGGGCGGCAUUUCCCAGGGGGCGGCAAAAAACGCCGCCCUCAAAUGCCCAGGGCAAAAGCGAACACCCCCCAGCAUUCCC